ensembl:lincRNA
ACAGGACUCAGGGAUCCUGCGGCUACCAGUUUGCUUGGUGACGUGAAGGUGAGUUUUCAGCCUCCUUGUGGCCCUUCCAGGGGAUGCCCCAGCUGAUGGGGUAAGUCCCCAGAGCCAGGCCCAUACGUUAGCCUGUGGCAGGUGCCCUUUAUAAAGGGAGGCUCCCUGAGGCAUGUAACACAAGUCUUCACAGCGAGACGGCGUGAAAAGGGUUAGUCCUAUCCAAAGAUUUUUGCUCUGUAGUUCAGGAGUAAAAGAGCUGAAGGCACUUAUGUGGCAAUUAAGUAUGAAUGUGCUCAUUUCCUGCCAGGCCAGCGAUGACUCUCACCCGGGGAAACCUUCCACCGAGUCUGCACUGUGCAGACGAUGCAAUCAGAGCUUCUGUGGGGGUGACGUGCGGCAGCGGCUCCAGACAGAAAGAAAUGUGCAAAAAUGUGAAUCGUGCCAAAGAUUCAGCUCUCUGGAAGAACAGAUGCCCUGGAGAUCUCUUCUGGAGCAGAGACAGUCCUUCUGUAGCACAGUGGCCCCAGGUAGUGUAAUUCAUUCCUCCCUUGGUCACACCUUAAACUCAAAUUUUGGGGCCUUUUUUUUUUUUUUUAAAGAUUUUAUUUAUUUAUUUGACAGAGAGGGAUCACAAGCAGGCAGAGAGGCAGGCAGAGAGAGAGGAGGAAGCAGGCUCCCUGCUGAGCAGAGAGCCAGAUGUGGGCUCGAUUCCAGGACACUGGGACCAUGACCUGAGCCGAAGGCAGAGGCCUCAACCCACUGAGCCACCCAGGCGCCCCUUUCUGGGUCUUUUUAAAUCAACUUUAUGUUAAUUAGCUGGGAACUAAUAUUUCAAGUGCAUUUGAGUAUAUAUAAAUGCAUUGUGUUGUAUGUGUGCGUGGAGGGGCAAUAAAUAUGACCAAUUAAAAAAAAAAAUCUGCUGCCUCUUGCCCAGAAUCUAAGAGAAACAGAGGAAUGGAGCUCCAGACCCAGAAGCAAGCACUCAGCUACCCCAGAGUCCAUCCAUAUUUUCCUCUUGGGUUCAAACCUCUCCUCUCCUUUGCCUGCUCAUGGUGUUGGAUGGGUUACAUGGCCUCUCUGCCCUUCACCUUCCCUGUCUGUAAAGAGGAAUAACACCCCUCCUUGCAGGGGUGAGGAGGAAGAACGAGCUAUGGCACAGUGCCAGGUUCACAGGACCCUCCCCCAGCAGAGCUAUGGUAAUGGAAGCAGCAGCUCCUAGGCCCAAAGUUCUCACCCCUCAUACCAGAUACCCUCCGUGCAGCACGAAGGAGUGAGGUCAUCCAGAGUGUUUACCAAUGCCCUGGAGAAGGUCCCAACAUCAGCUUCUCACGCUGGGGUUCCACAGGCUUGCUCCCCGUGUAGAACUGUGCCGAUAAGCAGCCCCUGGAUUUUCCCGGCUGCUCCUUUUGAAAGAUCACACUUUGUUUCUUCCCUCAGUGGCCUUGAUCAUUUAUUUUCAUUGUAAGGCGUGUGAUGGUUAAGUUUAUGUGUCAUCUCCACUAGUGUGUCUGGAUACUUGGUUAACUAUGAUUCUGGGUGUUUUCUGCACGAGAUAAACAUUUAAACCAGCAGACUGAGUAAGGGAGACGGCUUCAUCCGUUUGUGCCUGAGUAGAGCACAAAGCCAAGAAGGGAGACAUCCCUCUGCCUGACUGUCGCUGAGCUGGGGCACGGCCUUCUGCUGCCUCAGGAGCCGACGCAGACAGAAUCCAUGCCACCAGCUCCCAGGUCUCCAGCAUGCCCACAGCAGGUCAGGGACUUCCCGGACUCCAGUCACGUGAGUCAACUCCUUAUAAUAAAUCUCUGUAUGUCCUGUCAACUCUGUUUCUCUAGAGAACCCUGAUACAGAGGAGUAAUCCACAUUCAUUUUAAAUACUUAGCGUAUCAAAAAAAAGCUAUGAAAAAAUCACCUAUAAUCUCAAUUCUCAAAAAUCACUAGGGACAAUAGCACAAUGUCAUGAUAUGCAGCUUUGUAACUACUUUCUUC